CUCCACAGGAUGUUUUGAAAGUGAAAACAUGGACGACGAUUUCAAGACUUGCUGCUAUCGAAUACAGAUCGCCCCGUGAUCAAUCUAAUAGACUAUUAACGUUUAUUAAUACCUAAAGUUGGUUUAGAAAAGCAAUUUGAAGUGAUUUGUAAAAGUUUAUAGGUAACUUUUGUAAUUUUAAAAAGUGACGUUGCGUCAUGUAAAGGUGCAUUUUUCUGGAUCAGACCGGUCGUCAGCAAAUCACAUUUUGGGUAUACAAUGACGGAUUUAAUCGGGAAAAAGACCCAAUUGUGAUGUUUAUGUGACAUAUAGGAGUGCCAAGAAAGAAGCUCGUCAAAGCUGCCCUCCUCAGGACACAAUUGACCAGACCAGGACCAGCAGACUGCCAACCACCUGGCGCAGACCAGACAGCAGAGUCACCACAAGAACUAGAGGAAGGGGACCGGAACGGACCAAAAAACCACCAACACCCAGCUGAACAAGAUGACCUGGAUGAUCCCAUGAGCAAUGCGACGCGAUAAGGCUAACGCUAAUCCCAAACGAGGAGGCUGCCGAGGACAGAGCCGCCAAUCACCUGGGAGCAGCAACAACUACUACCACCAGACCUGAAAACAGUACCCACCUGGAAUUCAGCAGGGUAGUUCUCCAGAGAUGUAUGGGCUUUUCUCAGAGCAUACCUUCUCUCCAAAACGGAAUCCAAGGAACUCUGGAGCUCUGUCAGAGUAACCAUCUGGUUCUUGGUUACCUCCAUGACCAAGGCCCUUCUCCCCCCAGAUCUGUCUCGGAGCUCUACGGACAAUUCCUGUCAACUGUGGGACCUUAUAUAGACAGGACCUGAGCCCUAGGACCAUGCCCCAGGACUACCUGACAUGAUGACUCCUUGCUGUCCCCAGUCCACCUGGCCGUGCUGCUGCUCCAGUUUCAACUGUUCUGCCUUAUUAUUAUUCGACCAUUCUGGUCAUUUAUGAACAUUUAAACAUCUUGGUCAUGUUCUGUUAUAAUCUCC
ensembl:lncRNA